rnacentral:lncRNA from 1 species
GCCGUGGCGGCGGCUUCGGUAACAGAAGAGGCGGAGGUGGCUUUUCUGGAGGAAGAGGGGGGAGAGGUAAUGGCAACUUUGGUCGCAGAUGGUAAGGAAUGGCGACAUAAUUUUUUUGAUAGCUGACAAUACAAGAGUUUGUCCAAGGCUGCGUUCAAAAUUUUGGUAUAGUGAAGAAAAUGUAUGGGACUUCAGUAAGGUUUCUUCUGUAUUAAUUUUACUAAUUUAUAUAGGUUUCUCCUCCCUGUACCCUGCUUCAUUAUGCUUUUCGCUAGUUAGCUUUCUUGUAGUGUUCUUCCAUGUUUUACUAUAUUUUUGGUUAGACACUUGAAAAGUUAUUAUUUAUUUUGUAUGGUAUUGUUACCUGAAGAAAUCAUAUUCAAUUCAAGUUCAAUUUACUAUAUGUUUGGUUACACACUUAAAAAGUUAUUAUUUAUUUUGUAUGGUAUUGUUACCUGAAGAAAUCAUAUUCAAUUCAACUUCAAUUUAUAUGGAACGUUUGAUUCUACACCAGUUUAAUUUUCUUGCUUUAGACCUAACUUAGCUCCUUUACUCCCAUGUUUCUUGCAUCCGCUACUUGAUUUGCCUCGCGAUAAUAAUAGUACAAUUGAUUCUUUGGGCAAUAUUGAUGAUUUUAUUCUAGUGGGAUUUAUGUAGUCUUAUGGUCUUUAAGCAUGUACAACUAAAUAUUGAAAUUAAACUGUCGCUAAAAAAAAAAAAG